CCUACGGGAGGCAGCAGUGGGGAAUUUUGGACAAUGGGCGCAAGCCUGAUCCAGCAAUGCCGCGUGCAGGAAGAAGGSCUUCGGGUUGUAAACUGCUUUUGUACGGAACGAAAAGGCUCUGGUUAAUACCUGGGGCACAUGACGGUACCGUAAGAAUAAGCACCGGCUAACUACGUGCCAGCAGCCGCGGUAAU
rnacentral:rRNA from 1 species